CUGACCACAUAAUCUAUUGGUUUUGAUGGGGAACAGCCAUCAAACGCAAGGGGGAAAGUCCGGUGUGAGUCCGGCGCUGUCCCGCAACUGUAAUUGAGAGCCAUGCUCUCACGAGUCAGAAUGCCCGCCGAUAGUAUUACCCAACA
rnacentral:ncRNA from 2 species